CCUACGGGAGGCAGCAGUGGGGAAUAUUGCACAAUGGGCGAAAGCCUGAUGCAGCGACGCCGCGUGAGUGAAGAAGUAUUUCGGUAUGUAAAGCUCUAUUAGCAGGGAAGAAGCAAGACGGUACCUACCUUAGAAGCUUCGGCUAUCUACGUGCCAGCAGCCGCGGUAAUACGUAGGGGGCAAGCGUCAUCCGGAUUUAAUGGGUGUAAAGGGAGCGUAGACGGUAUGGCAAGUCUGAAGUGAAAGCCCAGGGCUUAACCCUGGGACUGCAUUGGAAACUGUUAGACUAGAGUGCUGGAGAGGUAAGUGGAAUUCCUAGUGUAGCGGUGAAAUGCGUAGAUAUAAGGAAGAACACCAGUGGCGAAGGCGGCUUACUGGACAGUAACUGACGUUGAGGCUCGAAAGCGUGGGGAGCAAACAGGAUUAGAUACCCGUGUAGUC
rnacentral:rRNA from 1 species